rnacentral:lncRNA from 1 species
AACUGGAGUUCCUGGGCAGCCAGAAAUGCAAGGAGUGCCAAGGAUAACUCUCAACCAAAUGGGGACAGUCGCUGGAAAAAGUCUUGGCUUCCUGUAUUUUAUUUUAUUUUAUAUUAUUUUAUUUAUUUAUUUAUUUUCAGGCCACACACACGGCAUAUGGGAGUUCCCAGGCUAGGGUGCAGCCCUAGAAAAGACAAAAAACAAAACAAAACAAAAAAGCUCAAUUAAAUCUACUAUUAUUAGAUUUUCUUGUUUUCUUUCCAGUCGGGUUUGUUAAGCACUGCGCCACAACGGGAACUCCAUCCUUUUUGUAUAAGAUUUACAGUGAGUUUAGAGAAUAUAUCUUCUUAGCAGAACAGUCAACAGAAUGAAAAAGAGUCGUUUCUAGCCCAAUUAGCAAACUCCAGAUUAUCUGCCACAGAUUCCUUGCUGGGACAUGGGACAAGAAUGCAUGUAAACGUCAUUCCUCUGACCUUGCCAUUGCAGGCCUGUUAAUUAUCCGUUGCCACAUAAUGAAUCACUCUGAAACCUCGGGGUUACAGCACCGCCAGCUAUUGGUCAGCUCACAGUUGCUGAGGGUCGGGAUGUGGGCGUGGCUUGGUGGCGCCUGCGGCUCAGGGUCUCUUAUGAGGCUGCAACUGCACGAUCAUGGGAGAAAAAAGAAUGUACACAUGUAUGUGUAACUGGGUCACCAUGUCGUACAGUAGAAAAAAAUAAUGUAUUGGGGAAAUUUUAAAAAAAAAGGCUGCAGUCAAGGCAUUAGCCAGGGAAACAGCCAUCACAAGGCUUAUCUGAAUGAGUUCUCGCCCGUUCAUUGGAUUGUUGGUGGAAUUCUCCUGGCUGUAGGACUGAGGGUCUCAGCUCUUCGCUGGCUGUUGGCCAGAGGUUACCCUUAGCGUCUUGCCACAUGGCUUCUGUGCAGGGCAGCUCAUGACAUGGCAGCUGGCCUCAUCAGAGGAGCAAGCCAAGAAGGCCAGAAAGAGACAGUGAUGCUAAGUCGGUGUUUUUAAAACGAAUCUAGGAAGAGACAGCAUCGCUUUUGCUGGGUUCUAUUUAUUAGACGGAAUGACUUGGCAAGGCCCUCACUCCAAGGAAGAGGGUCGGGCAAGGAUACAAUUCCGGGGGGCAAGCGUCACCUUAGAAACCUGCCCGCAACAACCGGAGGGGUACUGCUGUCUCGGCUGCAUCGCUACGAUCCCGAGAGUCAUCUAAGAGUUUCGCCGCUCAGCUGAAGAAGGCACAGCUCCUUGGUGGAACAUCUGGCUUAUCUGCCAUCCCCGUGCGCAGGCGAAGCCUUACUCCCCUUGGUUACUGUGGGUGUGACUACUGGUUAGUCAUCAGUACCUGAGGAACCACCAGGACUGAUCAUCUGUUCGACUCACUAUUUUCUGUAUUCACUCUUCUCUCAUUACUCAGAAAGAGGCAAACCUAACUAUAAUUUUAAAAUCCAUAUGCAGAUAUAAAAAGGACAAAGCUUUUCUCUACAUAUCGAAAUAAUUUUUUUAAAUCCUAUAUUUUCACGCUUUUUUCAAGUUUUUCAUAGUUACAACUUUUUGGCAUGUCAUUAUGAAUUCACAGGCUUUCACACAAUCCACAUGUCAAUUAAAUUAAUUAUAUUAUGUUUGGAAGUUCAGAUUUUCAAGACUUGAACUUUAUUAGUUUCUUUCUCCUUUUAGUCUUCAGCCCAUGACAUUCAUAAACAUUUUUUGCUCUCUAAUGAAACUAUGUGGCUUUUUGUUUGGCCAUGCCUGUGGCAUGGGGAAGUUCCAGAGGCAGAGAUCAAGCCCACAUCGCAGCAAUGACCCAUGCUGCAGCAACGACACCACCAGAUUCUCAACCCACUGAGCCAGAAGGGAAUUCCAAGAAAACUACACAUUUUAAACCUGCUGUUUCCAAUCCUUUUUUCUGCUUUAAGACUGAAACAGCAACUGUGUGAGUUGUGAUUCCCCUCAGUGGUAAAGAGUGUUAGAAACAAAAUUUUAAGCAUUAGAGGUUCAUACACUUGUGCAGUUGUAGGAAAAGGGCUAAUACUAUUAUUAAGUUUUAGAGAAAAUAUGGAAAAAGUUUUUUUUCGAGUCAAGUCACAAACUGACUUUUCUAACAUCAUGUGUAACAUUAUGCUGUGAUAUCCCACUUUUUUAAAAUGAGACUUUGCAAACCACUAAGAAGUAUGGUUACACGAAAGGCAGUCAGGUAAGCAAACUCCACCUCUUUCCUAUAAAGGAAACGAAGAAGUUCCUGGUUUAGUGUAAGCAACCAGGUCUCAGAACAGUAAAAACGCAAACUCAUUUCCAGUCCGUCAACGCCGCUGGGCACUCUUUAUGUGCACCUCUCUGUUUCUCCUAGUUUUAUGCAUUCCAUUUUUUUCUCCAUCUUUUGGCAGUUUCUCAGUGAUCUAUUAUAUACCAUCUUUGCAGUCUAAACCCGUCUGUUGAAGAAGUAUUUUAAAUGAAGAAAGAAGUCCAUCUGGCACUUCCCCAACCCCACAAACCACUGCCGGUAUCGCAGAGGCCCCGCCAGCCCUUCCCCUGAACAGAGACGCACACACCUUCCUCUUUCCGUAACGUCUGCCACCACCUCAUCCUCAUUCUACACCUUAAAAGAUGUGCACUGUUAGAGGAGCAGGAGCUAGAACGAAACCAAAGUGCGCAUGUGUGUAAUGUUUUUACAUAUUUUCUUGGUCAAACCUUGCUAUGCCCCUCUUCUCUUGCUGCUUCCCACUCCAGUGGGUAGGAAAAUGAAAUACUCACUUGAACAGUCAUCAGCACAACUGGGCUAUGCACCACAAUUCUGGGCGAUGACAUGGGAGUUGUCAAGUUUUCAUGCAGGCGAAUCUUUGUCUUAGAGCACUCUUCCUGAGGAGUUUCACUAAGACGACAAUGAGAUGGUGGUAACUCCAAUAGUACUGUGACAACAUAAUUAGGCUCUUACCUCUGGCAAAUUGGGAUGGGAUUCGUGUGACAGAGGAUCACCAGUUUAUGCAACAUCUCUGAGUUUUGAGAGGCGAAGGGACAGUGGCAAUGAUAAGACCUGUGGAGAUGUUAGGGUUGUUAUGCCAUCGAAGUGAAGGAAGAAAAUCAAAAGUCAUAGCAUGGCGCCAUUGACUCAAAACAGUGUAAAAGCCACUGGUGAGUUACAGCAGUAUUUACAGAGACCCUUCUCUUCAGCAGUCAGAAGACAGACCAUGCUAAAAUCAGGCUAUGGAUCUCACUAGGAAAGUAACCAUUGCAAAUAAAAGUUGAAUUUACGAUCCCCUGGCAAGGCCUUUUGCUAAAUUCAUGGCCCCAACGGGGAAGAAGAGGACCUAAAAUCCUGAACAAGAAAAGCUAGGUUUAUACAGAUAAGAAUCUUGAGUCACUAAAUCCUCUAAAACUCUGUAGCAAAAGCAACUCUCUGCUCCUUGGCAGAGAACCACAGUCUUGCCUUUCCCUGAGACUCUGAAAAGUCCUCACCUAAAGCAGACGACUCCCAAAGUGAUGUCUGCACGCCUCUAGAUCACGCCUCAAAUGUCCCACUUCUCCUCAUGUCUUCUGGAUGAGUGGUUCUCAAACUCAGCUUGCAUCCACACCACCUGGAGUACUUCAAAACUGAGGAUUUUUGAGCUCUCGCCCCCAGAGUUUCUAAGGCAGAAGGUCUAGGAUGAGACCCGGGAGUUUGCAUUGCUAACAAAUUCCCAAGCGAUGCUAAAGUUGCUGGUCUGGAGACCACACUCUCCGAACUAGUAUUUUAGAACAAUAAUCAGGAACAACUCUAGGUCCAGUCUAAGUUAGGGAAGCACUAUCGCUGCUGGAAAGAAAGAGGUUGUUUACCAAAAAAGCCACAGCACCUGAAUAAUUUAUUACCAUAGCAACCAAGAAAAUGUGCCCAAGAAUGGAUCUGGGCGUCCAGAAUCUAAAGCAGACAUAAAGCAGCUUUGAGUCUUGAGUUCUGAUCUGCACUCUCUCAGGACUCAGGACCCUGGAAAUGAAGGUACCCUGACCCAAUCCUAACAGCUGCGGGGACAGCUCUAAUGUGAUGAUAGGGCCUACCGUCCAUGAAACAGAAUCGCCUCCGAAACGUGUUUACGAUGGAGUCAAAAGGCUCAGAGAGAUGGGUAUGUUUCAGUGGGUCUUUUAGGUAUGACCAGAGACCCUCAGCUCUGCUCCUCAGGAAGACACAAAGGAAACGCCCAUUGUUAAUGCAAUAAGGAAGCACCCGCGUCCUUGCGUACAGGUGGCUACCCUCUUUCACUUCCUACUUUCCAUGGGGACGACGGAAUUCCAAAACUGGAGAGACCAGGUGGUAGCACUGAACUUCCUGAAGCAAGAUGGACAUAGCGAGCAAAGCCGGAAUGGCAAUGAGGGGCCCUCAUGCACAGAAACCGUGUGGCAAUAACUACUAUACCCUGGAGUUCCAAGAGGCAAACGUGACAGACAAUGUGGGUAUUGCCUGUAUAACCACCAAAGAUGACGAGCAAGUAAGCAGAAGGUUGGUAUCAGUCACUACAAUGAAAUGUCAUGACUCUUCACCCAGUUCUUGGACCCAUAGGCCAUUGGUCAAAGGGGAUUCAGCCUCCCUGAGGAAGGACCUUCACGCUACAAGUGUGUACAACCAUACGUGUACAACAAUACAUGUACAACAAGUACUGUACAGCAAUACUCCCCAGAGUGACCUACAAUCACUUAUGAGAAAUUCUACACUGAUAAACAUGUGAUACCCACACAGUUACAGGGCUGUUGGAUACAAAGAUGAGAUAAUACUAAUACGAUGCUAAUAUUUUAUGAAAGAAGGAAAUACAUCAACACUGGACCCCCUACCUUACCCUAUACAGAAUCAUCCAGACAGAACAUGGAAUGACCCCUUAAUGGUAAAGCCAAUUGCUACCUGGGGUGGCACCCUGCCACACUGGUGCUGUCCUUCCAGAUGGGCUGUCUGCUUUAAACAACGGCCAUUAUAUGGUGCUAAAUUCACUACCAAGAAGUGGAAGCAGGAACGCCCUCUCACACCGUUAUUCCUUGGAGUUCCAAGAGGCAGGCUUGACAAUGUGGGGAUGGCCUGUUCAACCACAAAAGAUGACGACAAGUGAGCAGAAGCCUGGUGCCACUGACUACAAUGAAAUGUCACGACUCUUCACUCAGUUCUAAGAUUCUGGCCAGUUCUCAGACCCGCAGUUGUUCCUAGUGACUCCUUUGAGGGACUCUGUGCUUCCCAUUCCCCAAUUUAAGACUCUGCAGAACUAGAAUGCCUGAUUCCCUGGGGUGGCCCUUUCUACUAGGAAAUUCGGUGAGUUCUCCAACAAACGUAAAGCUGCAGCUGCCACCUCAUUGGUUCAGGCAGAGGAAAGUCCCUGUUCUGUCCGAUUAUCAAUCAUGAUACUGGCUGAGAUCACAGAAGAAUGUCUGGAAUUCUCUGAAGCGCCUGUUAGUGCCCGUUGCCUGAUGAUAACCACAAACAGAAACAGUGGAAAAUUACAGCAACCGCAUCGGACGAAGGCAUAGUAGCUAGGGGCUCAGACCCCUCAUGGUUGAAGGUUUGGGGUUCUUGAGUGAGCUGUCGUGCAUGGGUGAGGAGAACCUACAUGUGUGAUAGAGCAGGAACACCAACGAAUUUCCGUUACAACCACGGUGUAAACUAUAGAAGUGGGUUCUGUAAUUUGUCACACAAACCCUCUUUUUGAAGCUGUGACCAGCCACAAAUCUGAAGAAUCAGUGAUAGAACAAAUUCAUCAUGAGCCAUGAGUGUAUCUAAGUGGUGUCAGGAAACAGACUGAAGCAGAACCGCUGAGGCCCCAGCCAUACCCCUCAGCCUUUACCACGUGUGCAUGCCAGCCUGACCUGCAAUACUGGACCUUUGGCUCUUUGCAUGAGGGCUUUCUUUGGCCAUCAAAGCUUGCUCUGCCUCCACAUGCAGCACAGUUCUUGAAUAUUAAUGCCCCACAAGGCCAACCUCCAAUAAUGACCACUGGACACACUCUGCAAAUAUUCAAAUUCCCUUGAACCACAUGACUCUGAGGCUCAUGUUCUACUGCUAAAAAUCACAUCUUAAGCUGUUUGCUAAUUCUCUCUUUCCUGGGUUUCUUCCUUUCCCAGUCUCCCUUCCACACUCCCUACCAGCAUUUCCGCAGAUCCUCUCCCAAAUACGUGUGCGCUCAAAUACUUACUUCUGCUUCAGGAGCUGGGGGGGAAUGCCCUUUGAUACAUACAAAUAUACAGAGUGGGAAGGGAAGCGCUCCUCCCCUUUUCCACUUGGAAUUCCGGCACAUAAUCAGCUAAGCUGCCCAUCAUCACAGGAUAUGACAGAGAUUAGAAACUGUGACGUGACACUUAGGCACAAGAAAAGGGGCCACAAAAAUAACACCCUCUGAGUCUUUCUCUGUGAAGUGUGUGAGACAUUUAGAAAUUCUGAGGCGAUGACUGAUUGCAGAGCCAGAAGGCCUGCCAGGGUGAGAGGAGAAAUGAGGGUGGCGUCAACCAUGGAGCUGCUGAGGACCAGCGAUGCCAGGCGUUCAGGUGGAGCCGCUUCAGUAAGUGGGAGAGCACAG